UUGACCUCGGAUCAGGUAGGGAUACCCGCUGAUG
rnacentral:rRNA from 1 species